UGCGUAGGCGGAUUGAUAAGUCAGUGGUGAAAACCUUCAGCUUAACUGGAGACUUGCCAUUGAUACUGUUAGUCUUGAGUACGGUCAAGGUAGGCGGAAUGUGUAAUGUAGCGGUGAAAUGCUUAGAUAUUACACAGAACACCGAUCGCGAAGGCAGCUUACUGGGCCAUUACUGACGCUGAGACACGAAAGCGUGGGGAGCGAACAGGAUUAGAUACCCUGGUAGUCC
rnacentral:rRNA from 1 species